CAACCCUCAAGCACUGCUUGGUAUUGGGUGUCACAUUUUGUGCCCCUUAAAAUCAGUGGCGAUGCCCUGCAGCUUCAAGUGUAGUAAAUUUCUCGCUCCGAAGCCUCUCAGGAACACUGCCAAACAAUCCUCUAUUUUAUCAUAUAA
rnacentral:misc_RNA from 1 species